rnacentral:rRNA from 1 species
UACGUAGGGGGCAAGCGUUGUCCGGAUUUAUUGGGCGUAAAGAGCUCGUAGGCGGUUUGGUAAGUCGGGUGUGAAAUCUCCACGCUCAACGUGGAGGGGCCACUCGAUACUGCCAUGACUCGAGUCCGGUAGAGGAGUGUGGAAUUCCCGGUGUAGCGGUGAAAUGCGCAGAUAUCAGGAGGAACACCGGUGGCGAAGGCGGGUCUCUGGGCAACAACUGACGCUGAGGAGCGAAAGCGUGGGGAGCGAACAGG